AGUGAACGCUGGCGGUAGGCCUAACACAUGCAAGUCGAACGGCAGCACAGUAAGAGCUUGCUCUUAUGGGUGGCGAGUGGCGGACGGGUGAGGAAUACAUCGGAAUCUACUUUUUCGUGGGGGAUAACGUAGGGAAACUUACGCUAAUACCGCAUACGACCUACGGGUGAAAGCAGGGGAUCUUCGGACCUUACGCGAUUGAAUGAGCCGAUGUCGGAUUAGCUAGUUGGCGGGGUAAAGGCCCACCAAGGCGACGAUCCGUAGCUGGUCUGAGAGGAUGAUCAGCCACACUGGAACUGAGACACGGUCCAGACUCCUACGGGAGGCAGCAGUGGGGAAUAUUGGACAAUGGGCGCAAGCCUGAUCCAGCCAUACCGCGUGGGUGAAGAAGGCCUUCGGGUUGUAAAGCCCUUUUGUUGGGAAAGAAAAGCAGCAGGUUAAUACCCCGCUGUUCUGACGGUACCCAAAGAAUAAGCACCGGCUAACUUCGUG
rnacentral:rRNA from 1 species